rnacentral:rRNA from 1 species
GGAGGAAGCAAUUCCCUUCGCUUUGGGAUGAGCCUGCGUCUCAUUAGCUAGUUGGUGGGGUAACGGCCCACCAAGGCAUUGAUGGGUAGCUGGUCUGAGAGGAUGAUCAGCCACACUGGAACUGAAACACGGUCCAGACUCCUACGGGAGGCAGCAGUGGGAAUCUUGCGCAAUGGACGAAAGUCUGACGCAGCCACGCCGCGUGAGUGAAGAAGGCCUUCGGGUUGUAAAGCUCUGUCGAGCGGGACGAAAAAUGGAGAGGUGAAUAGCCUCUUCAUCUGACGGUACCGCUAAAGGAAGCACCGGCUAACUCCGUGCCAGCAGCCGCGGUAA